rnacentral:rRNA from 1 species
AUAGCGUAUAUUAAAGUUGUUGCAGUUAAAAAGCUCGUAGUUGAACCUUGGGCCUGGCUGGCCGGUCCGCCUCACCGCGUGCACUGGUCCGGCCGGGCCUUUCCUUCUGGCUAGCCACAUGCCCUUCACUGGGUGUGUCGGGGAACCAGGACUUUUACUUUGAAAAAAUUAGAGUGUUCAAAGCAGGCUUAUGCUCGAAUACAUUAGCAUGGAAUAAUAGAAUAGGACGUGUGGUUCUAUUUUGUUGGUUUCUAGAGCCGCCGUAAUGAUUAAUAGGGACAGUCGGGGGCAUCAGUAUUCAAUUGUCAGAGGUGAAAUUCUUGGAUUUAUUGAAGACUAACUACUG